GCAGACAGGAACCUAGCAUCACUGUCAUCUGAGAGGCUCUACCCAGAAGCCAAUGGAAAAAGAUGCAAAGACUCAUACCCAAACAUUAGGUGGAGCUCAGGGAGUCAUAUGGAAGAGUUGAGAGAAGGGUUGAGGAAUCCGAAGAGAAAAGGAAUACUACAGGAAGACCAACAGAGUCAACUAACAUGGACCCUUGGAAGCUCCCAGAGAACAAAUCACCAACCAAAGAAUAUACACAGGAUGGAUGUAGGCCCUCUGCACAUAUGUAAAAGCAGCUUCUUUAACCUUCCUGUGUAGACUGCAGACCAGAAGUUCACCAAGAAUCAUCAAGACCUUCAGCAGCAUAUUGAAAUUGCUACAAUAUCCUGCUUCUUGGACUAAGCCACUGUUGAGUUCUCAGUUUCUUUAACAUGCAGACAGCCAUUGUUAGACUACUCAACUCCUGAUAUGAAAUGUAUUCCAGUACACACACACAUACACACACGAACAUUCUAUCUGUUCCGCUCGAGAACUUUAUCUAGUGUAUCAAAAGAUUAUUAAAGAGAUAAUAUAUAUAUAGAAGUGUAAUAGUGGUGGGGCACACCUGUAGUUUCAACAGCUGGAAAGCAGAGACAAGAAGAGUUCACAAAUUAGAGGCUAGCCUGGUGAGUUCCAGGACAUCCAGGACUACAAAGUAAGAUCCUGUCUCAAAAGCCUUAAAAUAAUGAGCAUGUGUCAUGUGUAAACAAAAGGGGGCGUAGUCUGCAAGAGGGAAAAGAAAUGGCUAGAGUAGGAGGAAGAGGGCACAAGGAAGGGCAGUGGAGGAGGGAACAAAUUCUAACUAAGUAUGAUGACACAUGUGAAUGCAAAUGCUGUAAUGAAACAAAUUAUUUUUAUGCUAAUUUUUGAAGAUGUUUUUGUUUGUACAAAUGUUUUGCCUGCAUGCAUAUGGACACCAGAUGUAUGUCUGGUGCCCACAGGGGUCAGAAAGGGCUGCUGGAUCUCCUGGAACUGUAGUUACAGAUUGUUGGUAACUGUUACGUGGGUGCUGGGAACCAAACCCAGGUCCUCUGCAAAAGCAGCAAGUGCUUUUAAUGACUGAGCCAUUUUGAUAGCCCUGCUACCAUGCAAAACAACAUAACCAGUGUGAUGGUUCACUGGGUAAAGAAAGGGACUUGGCAAAUCUGAGUUCUCUCUGUGGGAUCCAUAUGAUGUAAGGGGAGAACUGACUCUAGAAAUUUUUCUCUGACCUCCACACGAGCACCAUGGUAUAUAAAUCCCCACACCCACACCUACACAAAUACACAUACACAGAAAGAAAUGAAAAGGUAAUAAAAUGUAAACAUCAACAGCAGUAAUAAACACAUACAGAAAUCACCAUGGAAACCGUUAUAGAUGUGCCCUGUGUACUCUAUUGACUGUCACCUAUAAAAUCAUGCUUGACAACUGUGCAAUCAAGUUACAAAAAACAAUCACAAAAAUCUUGUAAUGCUAAUCAUUUUGUGUUUGAAUGCAUCCAUAUAGCUAUCCUGGGCCCCUUAGCAUGUAUAUAAUUUUUUUCCAUUAUAGAAGAAGCCUUAUCAUAUACAGAAAAGUGAAUUCAUGUGGGGCAUUGGGCUAUGCACAGACAGGCUGGUCUCCACUCGAAUUGAGAUGCUGAACUCCGGGACCUGGUGUUCAUAAUUUACCUACAUGGGAUGGAAGGAGUUCCCUCAUGUCUCCUGGAACUCUGGCUCCUGCCUAAGUUACCACCCCCCACAGCGCCCACAAGAGAAGCAUGGCUAGAAGUCACGUAGGCAAUGGCCCAAGCUUCUGACCUUCAGGCUAAACUCCUCUCCAGUUACCUAGCAACAGAAAAUUCCUUAAAUUUCCAUAAGAACUUUCUAAAAACAAUUUUAAAUUUCCACAAAUCACCUUAUGAAAGACUAAUUUGUAAUAAGCUAAAUCUGAAUUCUGAAAUUUUCAUAUGAUGCAUAACUCCACUUUUCAUUUUUCCAGGGCAAGCUCCAUGCUCAGGAAUAGUCAGCCAACACAUAUUGGACUCCAUGCUUACUACAAAAGAUGGCUGGAGCAGGGGCUCUAGGAGUUCUGAUACCCUGAAUCUGGCACCUAAAGGCACCAUAUGUAUACAUAUAUUAUAAUGUAUUAGUCAAUUUUCUGUUGCUAUAAACAAGUGCCUGAGGCUGGGUACUUUAUAAAUAGAGUGGAUUUAUUCACCUCAUAGUUUGUGGGAAAUGACUGUCCAAGAUCAGUUAUUCUCAUCUGUUCAGCUUCUGCCAAGGACAUUUUGAUGUCUCAGAAAGAGAUGGACAGCAUGAUGGAAGGGCACAUGUGAAGUGGUACUACAUUGUGAAAAGACAGAAAGCCAGAGAGAUUCAGAGCUACCUAUAUGCAGGAGAUCAGAUUUUCUUCUGAGAUUUCAA
rnacentral:lncRNA from 1 species